AAGCCACGGCUAACUACGUGCCAGCAGCCGCGGUAAUACGUAGGUGGCAAGCGUUGUCCGGAUUUAUUGGGCGUAAAGCGAGCGCAGGCGGUUUUUUAAGUCUGAUGUGAAAGCCCUCGGCUUAACCGAGGAAGUGCAUCGGAAACUGGGAAACUUGAGUGCAGAAGAGGACAGUGGAACUCCAUGUGUAGCGGUGAAAUGCGUAGAUAUAUGGAAGAACACCAGUGGCGAAGGCGGCUGUCUGGUCUGUAACUGACGCUGAGGCUCGAAAGCAUGGGUAGCGAACAGGAUUAGAUACCCUGGUAGUCCAUGCCGUAAACGAUGAAUGCUAGGUGUUGGAGGGUUUCCGCCCUUCAGUGCCGCAGCUAACGCAUUAAGCAUUCCGCCUGGGGAGUACGACCGCAAGGUUGAAACUCAAAGGAAUUGACGGGGGCCCGCACAAGCGGUGGAGCAUGUGGUUUAAUUCGAAGCAACGCGAAGAACCUUACCAGGUCUUGACAUCUUUUGAUCACCUGAGAGAUCAGGUUUCCCCUUCGGGGGCAAAAUGACAGGUGGUGCAUGGUUGUCGUCAGCUCGUGUCGUGAGAUGUUGGGUUAAGUCCCGCAACGAGCGCAACCCUUAUGACUAGUUGCCAGCAUUUAGUUGGGCACUCUAGUAAGACUGCCGGUGACAAACCGGAGGAAGGUGGGGAUGACGUCAAAUCAUCAUGCCCCUUAUGACCUGGGCUACACACGUGCUACAAUGGAUGGUACAACGAGUUGCGAGACCGCGAGGUCAAGCUAAUCUCUUAAAGCCAUUCUCAGUUCGGACUGUAGGCUGCAACUCGCCUACACGAAGUCGGAAUCGCUAGUAAUCGCGGAUCAGCACGCCGCGGUGAAUACGUUCCCGGGCCUUGUACACACCGCCCGUCACACCAUGAGAGUUUGUAACACCCGAAGCCGGUGGCGUAACCCUUUUAGGGAGCGAGCCGUCUAAGGUGGGACAAAUGAUUAGGGUGAAGUCGUAACAAGGUAGCCGUAGGAGAACCUGCGGCUG
rnacentral:rRNA from 1 species